CAGACGCAGAGCUUAUGAAUGGAUAUACAGAAGAUAUUUAGAUCGUAAUGGUUGUCUUACAGGAAACUAGUAAAAUGAAAAUAUUGAUUGAAAUGCUAUGGUCACGCCAGAACGACGCUGUUAGCAGAGCAAUAUUUCCCUCUAGUGGCCGUUCGAGGGCAAUAGCUAAAACGUUCCCGGUGCCUAACGGUGCCCACAAGAAGAGCUAGGGUCACACUGUUUCAGUAAGGCAUGCAGUCGGCUCUUCACACAGGCAUGCAGCUAGUCUUGCUCUCCUGAUUUCUUGCUUUCUAACACCCACGGCGGGGAAGAGGCCUUGAGGGCCCCAUUUGCAGACCUUCUGGGGAACACUGGAAUGCCAGCAAGGAGCAGCUGAUGCAUCAUGAAUCCAGUUUCUAGUUUUAAUUCAAGGCAUUUAUUUAUUUAUUUAUAAUUCUGCCCAGGCAAUGGAAGAUAAACUACACCAUUUUGGAACAUUUAUAAACUGCAAUAUCUAUCUGAUAGGAAGCAUAAUACCUAUAUGAUAGGAAGCACAGAUGAGACAGAGGAAGAUGAAAAGCAAGAUAGACAUUGUGAAAGCACAGGUCAGGCAGUGAAGCCAUCUAAGCCUGAUGGAGCUGUGGUGGCAGUAAACUCUAUUUGUGAUGAUGCCAUGUGGAACAUAUUAGAAGUGUUAAGUUCCUAAUUAGAGAU